rnacentral:rRNA from 1 species
AAGACCUUGCGCUUUUGGGGCGGCCGAUGCCUGAUUAGCUUGUUGGUAAGGUAAAAGCUUACCAAGGCUUCGAUCAGUAGCUGGUCUGAGAGGACGACCAGCCACACUGGGACUGAGACACGGCCCAGACUCCUACGGGAGGCAGCAGUGGGGAAUUUUGGACAAUGGGGGCAACCCUGAUCCAGCCGUGCCGCGUGAGUGAAGAAGGCCUUCGGGUUGUAAAGCUCUUUCAGCCGGAACGAAACGGUUACGGUUAACACCCGUGACUACUGACGGUACCGGAAGAAGAAGCACCGGCUAACUACGUGCCAGCAGCCGCGGUAAUACGUAGGGUGCGAGCGUUAAUCGGAAUUACUGGGCGUAAAGCGUGCGCAGGUGGUUUUGUAAGUCAGAUGUGAAAGCCCCGGGCUCAACCUGGGAACU